GGUGGCUCAGUGAUAGAGCACUUGCCUCGAAUGCAUGAGGCCCUGGGUUUAAUUCCUCAGCACCA
rnacentral:tRNA from 1 species